rnacentral:rRNA from 1 species
UACGGAGGGUGCAAGCGUUAUCCGGAUUUACUGGGUUUAAAGGGUGCGUAGGUGGGUCUGUAAGUCAGUGGUGAAAUCUCCGGGCUUAACCCGGAAACUGCCAUUGAUACUAUUUAUCUUGAAUACUUUGGAGGUAAGCGGAAUAUGUCAUGUAGCGGUGAAAUGCUUAGAUAUGACAUAGAACACCAAUUGCGAAGGCAGCUUACUACACAGUUAUUGACACUGAGGCACGAAAGCGUGGGGAUCAAACAGG